CAGUCGCCACGGUAAUACGUAGGUCCCGAGCGUUGUCCGGAUUUAUUGGGCGUAAAGCGAGCGCAGGCGGUUAGAUAAGUCUGAAGUUAAAGGCUGUGGCUUAACCAUAGUACGCUUUGCAAACUGUUUAACUUGAGUGCAAGAGGGGAGAGUGGAAUUCCAUGUGUAGCGGUGAAAUGCGUAGAUAUAUGGAGGAACACCGGUGGCGAAAGCGGCUCUCUGGCUUGUAACUGACGCUGAGGCUCGAAAGCGUGGGGAGCAAACAGGAUUAGAUACCCCGGUAGUCCCUGUCUCUUAUACA
rnacentral:rRNA from 1 species